rnacentral:rRNA from 1 species
AGUGAACGCUGGCGGUAGGCCUAACACAUGCAAGUCGAACGGCAGCACAGUAAGAGCUUGCUCUUACGGGUGGCGAGUGGCGGACGGGUGAGGAAUACAUCGGAAUCUACUUUUUCGUGGGGGAUAACGUAGGGAAACUUACGCUAAUACCGCAUACGACCUACGGGUGAAAGCAGGGGAUCUUCGGACCUUGCGCGAUUGAAUGAGCCGAUGUCGGAUUAGCUAGUUGGCGGGGUAAAGGCCCACCAAGGCGACGAUCCGUAGCUGGUCUGAGAGGAUGAUCAGCCACACUGGAACUGAGACACGGUCCAGACUCCUACGGGAGGCAGCAGUGGGGAAUAUUGGACAAUGGGCGCAAGCCUGAUCCAGCCAUACCGCGUGGGUGAAGAAGGCCUUCGGGUUGUAAAACCCUUUUGUUGGGAAAGAAAAGCAGCAGGUUAAUACCCCGCUGUUCUGACGGUACCAAAAGAAUAAGCACCGGCUAACUUCGUG